AUCGUGAAAGCGACGCGCCACGAUAACCCUCUUAUCGUGGCCGCCUUGAAUUACAUACCCGACCCAGAGGACGGGGCAACGAACAGCCGCCGGAUCGAACGAUUUCGGAUCCUCUCAGAUAUGGAGGCUCUCAUGCAUUUAUAACGGUAGUAAGUACCAACACGUAGAUACAAAUGUACGAGCAGAUAUUUAAUAGCUGGAAACACACAGUCCUUGGGUAUUACAGUACAAUUAAUGAAUUUUAACAGUAGAAACACAAAAAUGGCUAAGUAUAUGGUUUAUGUCAUAAGUUUCCAGUGAAGAUAAACCAUAAUAAUAAGACAUAGUCGCUGACAACGGGCGUUAUCACAAAACUAUUGUCACUAAAUGAUAAAUAGUGAGAACUAUACUCGAAAUAUCCCUGCCAGAUCCAAUCAAAAAUAAGGUCACAGAAGUACCAAGGUAACUGAUAUAGCCCGAAGAAUUACGAGGUUUGAGUGGCAGUGGUUGGACACAUUUGUCGAAGAAUAAAUGGCCGCUGGGACCAAAAACAUUCUAGAGUGGUAAUCAUACAAUGGAAAAUGCAGAGUGGGUAGGCCUCCCAGGAGUUGGAGCAAGGACCUUCUAAAGGCAGCGAGAAACUGAUGGAUGCUGGCUGCGUAGGACCGGUCAUUGUGGCGAACCUUGAGGGAGGCUAAGUCCAGCAGUGGACGUCCGUGGGUUGAUGAUGGUAACAUAAGUUGUCAAAGUAAUAUAGCAUCAAAGUAGUUUGAGACACGUCAACAUUAUUUACGGAAUAUUCGGAAAAUUACCUGAGUAAAAUUAGGUAUAGUAGUCCCAGCAUGCUUCCGAUCAGGCUAUGAGUUUCAAUAUUAGGAAGGUUGUUUGUUAAAGGAACCAUGUACACGUAGGCGAGUAAUCGUGGCAUUGCUACUAUGAAGCAGAGACGGGAGCGCCAUUCAUUGCUUGCAAUUUCGCAAACUGUUUGGAAUAAUAACUAAUUAAAAUACUUGUGAUUGAAAUAAGUAAACGUGCAGGUAUAUAUGUGUACGACCUCUGCAUUAACAUUCGGUGUCUUCAGAAUUUAUCAACAAUAUUAAAUUAUGAAAAAAAAUUCUCUUAAAUGAUAUAACUUUCAAUCUGUAUUUCUACUUGUAUUAUGUAUCUACUUGUAUUUUUAAUGUUUUUCAAAUACUAAGAAUCGAUUAAAUACAAACAAUGCAUUGUAAGUCAAAAAAAACCUUGGCCUGUUAGCAAUCACUAAAAAAUAAUCGUUUGCGAUAUCAUUAUGAAGACAAUACACUAUAUUGAAUACAGUAAGUACAACGUACCUGUAAUAUAAUAUUAUAGUCUUAUUUUUAACCUAAUAAAUAAUAUUUAAUACUUGA